UCAGGAGGAAGUAUCGAGUAGCUACUUGUAUUUACUUGUAUCGGCACGUCCCUAAUUUUACUCAUUUUGAGUGCAAUAAUUAAUUUCUUGAUACCUAAAUAAAUACAAGAUAAACUGAUGUUAAUACAAAAAAUAAAAACAAGGAGCGGUUAGUCUCGUUAUGAAUAGCAGCAAUGAUAGUAAUGAUACAGGCGCCACCUUUUCGAGGUUGCAAACAAGUGAAACUGGAGCCUAUGUUGCCAACUCAAGUUCACCUGAAGUUCAUAGCUCAAGGACUCAAUAUGCACCAUUAGUUUUGCAUUCAUUGGAAAAUACUAGCAUCACAAUUGAAGAAAAUACAGCGGGGAAUAGAGCAAUUUUGGACUUCUCUAAUGAAACAAACAAUGCGGGGAACAUCAUGGAGCAAUACGCUCGAUUUCUAAGAGACCGAGUGGCAGGAGUAACUAGGAGCCGUUUAAGCAACAUUAUUGCAGUAACAAGAAGUAACGAUUUUUCUCGUCAGAAUGCAUCCGGUGGAGGGACACAGUUGGAUAGCUUCAAUCGUGUUCGAUCGCUUCCUAAUUCACUUGGAAAUUUAAAUAGCUCAUCAACAAUUGAAGUUUCACCAACAAUGGCUACCGCCGAGCACUCUGUUAGGUCUACACACCUUUCUGGUGGACACCUUAUAAAUAAUCAGAAUAUGAUAACUUUGGGUCACGAUUUACAAGCUAAUGAAAACGCCAUUCUUGGCCGAAUAGAUUUACAAAGGAUACCAAUUUUAUCGCCGGGCCAGCACCUGCAUCUAUCACAUUUCCGAAAUAAUGGUGCAAUGAGUGACAUUGCCAGUAUUCCAAGCACAUCAAACUUAAUGAAUCAAACAAAUACAAACGGGGAUCGAAUUAUUGAAGAAGGAAAUAAUUUGGCAGACCAAAUGACAGGGUCCUCUUCCAGUGUAAAUGCCUCAAUUGACAAUGUAACAAGAACCACAGAAGAGUCGGCAACAUCGACAAAUGAAUUAUAUAAUAAUUUUUACCCCGACGUAGUCAUCACAACUCUUCGACAAUGCCUUCACUAUAUACCGUUUGCUUGCAUACUGUUCGUAAAGUUUUUUUAUGACCACUUAUUGGGCAUUUUGGAUAUAAUAAUGUUGCAGUUUGUUAUGUAUUGUGUUAACAAAUCCUUGCAAACGCAAGUUAUAAGACUUGAUCAAAAGAAAAACUCGAUUAUUUUACGAGACUUAUUUCUAGUUGUUGCUGUAGUUACGCUGCGACUGUUGCUCGCUUCAGCUCCGCCUGACCCUUUCGGCCUGCUGAUAGGACCAUCAUCAGAUGAACGUAAUAUCAUUCAUCAAAUAGUGCUUAAUAAUCCCCAAUAUACCAACACAGUGUCUCAAGGCCAACUUCCGGCUACGAUGCAAAGUUCAGUUGAAAGAACAGUUAUAAUACCGAAAUUAAUAUCUCUAGAAGCGAUACUCUAUUAUAUAGCUGUCAAUGAUCUGGUUCUUAAAUUGAUCACUAUUGCUAUAAAAUUACUUGUUACUUUAAUACCUCUACAUUCAAUCAGACACAAGCAAAGGACGCGCUUGUAUGUCUUCAUGGAAUUUUUCUCACAAUUCUACCGCUCGCUGGUUCCCAUCCGGCAGUGGUUAUUAUUCCUCUUUGAAUCUUAUUCUGGCCUACACGCUGUGAGUAAAUGGUGUUAUGUUUUCUUCUACCUACAUAGUACUCAAAGGAUGUGAAUUGGCGGACCGUGGAAAAUCUCUAAAGAAAUCUUUUAUUAAUCUACUAAAAGAUGUGGAUAAAUCAAGACGACCGGCGAAAGAUAAUUUCGAUACUUCCGACGAGGUCUGCGCCAUUUGUCAAGACACCUACGUCUCACCGGUGGUUUUGGAAUGUGGACACAUUUUCUGUGAUAAUUGUGUAACCACAUGGUUUAAACGCGAGCAAACAUGCCCCAUGUGCCGCGCAAAAGUGGGAGAUAACCUUGCCUGGCAUGACGGCUCCACCUCGUUUUUCUAUCAGCUUUAUUAAGUAGGCUUACUCUUAUUAUAAGUUAAAAGCGAAGUAUCAUACAAUAUUAGAGCCUGAAGUAAGGUUUAUUUAAAUAUUC